AAGCAAGAAAAUUGGCCAUCUGACCUUGAAGGAGAUCAAAUUGUUUGUCUCUCCUUUCAACCUGACCUGGAAGAAUAUCAAAUCUCUUCAUUUCACUAGCCUUGGUCUCUUGAAGCUCUGCUGUCAGUUUUGUGAUCUCUCUUCCAUAGCCGAUAUAGCCAAACUAUCAAUAACCUUGCCUUGGGCCGAAGUCCCUAUACCUUGCAAUCCAGCCCUUUAGCACCGAAAUAAUUUAUCGGAAAGGCCAUAUGCUAUCCCCUUUUUAGGACCACCGACAGUAUCCAACCAUAUCAUCUUCUCUUCUUUGUCUGAAAUGGGCGGUAGCUCGCCUUCCUCAUUCGGUGGCAAGCUCUAAGUGUACUCCUCCAAAUUGCUUUUGUAGCGAC
rnacentral:lncRNA from 1 species